rnacentral:lncRNA from 1 species
AGAAAGCAAACAUGUAGCUCUGACAGACGAACAUUUGGAGAUCCAGAAGGACCACAGACAUGCACCGAUGCUUUAAUUGCAGAUUUGCGAGGAUCGGUCACAAAAAAGAAACGAACAAAAACUAGAAGAAUUCGUGUCCGUUCAUCAUCUUCCUGCAAAAAUGAAAGACAGCACAACACAUUAGGUAUUUCAACUUUAAUUUCCUAUUCUUUUUCUGAAUAACAUUAUGAUUGUUAUAGAGAAAGCAAUUCUACCAUGCAAUCUGACUUAUUACCUGAAUUGAUUGAUUUGAUGUUGCAUGUGUAGACAAAUGGAAAAACAUACGGACUGAGGACGAUUUAAUAGAGCUAUUUAGAUUCCUGAACAUCGAUGGAGAGAUGCAGAAUAUGCUUGUUCCUUAUAACCAAAAUGGCACCAUUGUUCCACACGAAGAAGAAGAAGAAGAAGAAGAAGAAGAAAAGAAAAAACGACCUAAAGUUGAUCUUGAUGGGGAGACUGAGAGAAUCUGGAACCUUUUACUUGUCGAUAUCAACAGUAGUGGGAUUGAUGGAAGUGAUCCCGAUACGGUCAAAUGGUGGAAAGAAGAACGAGAAGUGUUCCGUGGACGAGCAGACUCAUUCAUUGCAAGGAUGCAUCUGGUACAAGGUAUGAAUUAUACAUUUUCAUGAAAAUCUAAGCACUAUUCACACAACAGACAAAUAUCCCCUUUAUUUGUGCUUGAGGUGGAAAAAGUGAGAACACCAUAGACUAGGAAGAUAGCAACACACACACACAUAUAUAUGAACACACCAAGCACUAUACAGAAAACCAAGUAGGAUUCAAAGGAACUCUAAGAAAUUCAAAUGAGAACAGUAAUAAUAUUAAUAAAUAAUUUGGAUUUGUCAAGAUUAGCACUACUCACACAACUGACAAAUUUCUACAAUGAAGAAAAAAAGAGAUUAGCUUAUGUAGUUAAAAAACCAGAUUUUGAAAAGAUUAGCCAUGAAAAAGCUUCUAUAAAUUAGUGUGCGUAAAAAGCUUAUUUAUAAUUUCUUCUAAAAAUGUUUUAAACUAAGUUUAACCACAAAGAACAUUUAUAAAAAAAAGGCAAGUCAAAGUAGGACACUCAAUGAAGUACUAUUUCCUACAACACAGCGGACAAUUUUAAUCAAGUGCUAAAGCAAAAAUACAUCACACUAAAUAAAGAAAUUCUUUCCUCUGAAGUUGCAGUUAAUCGGCAAGUUAUCAAAAACAAAAUAUUCACAAGUAAACUCAUUCAUUCUGCAUAUUCAGUAACACAGUUCCAGGACUAAUAUUAUAACACAAACAACAGGAGACAGGCGCUUUUCGAUGUGGAAGGGAUCUGUUGUGGAUUCUGUUGUCGGAGUUUUCCUCACUCAAAAUGUUUCAGACCAUCUUUCCAGGUAUAAAUCAUGCAAGCUUAAUUACUGAGAAAUAUACAAUUAAAACAAACAACACGUUUAUUUUUCCCCUUGUUGGCAGUUCUGCAUUCAUGUCCCUCGCUGCUCGAUAUCCUCUGAAGUCAACCAGUACAUUCCAGAAGGAAAGCACAUGUUCGAUGGUCAAUGAACCACAAGUGUGCAUUGUGGAGGAGCCAGUAGAAAAUGGAAAUCGGGAUAGGAAAAUAUUGGAUCAAUCCAUUUGUGAAAUGAAUUCUAAGACAAUGGACAUCAUCGAAAAUUAUGAAGAAAGAGAAGGUGUAGACAGCAAUGUUUCCUGCAGAACUAAUGGCAGCGUAAUUUGUGUAGCAGAUGAAUCAAACAGCAACAUGUUGGAAUCGGAAUCGGCUCAAAGACGUGGCAGUGAACAUAGCCCAGUGGAAAGUGGAACAAUUAGUGGUAUGACUGAGGAAGGGCAAGAAAGUUUAUGUCAUGUGAGUGUUAGGAAAGAGUUAAAUAAUGUAUUUCCAUCCCAAUUAUCUGGUGCUACAUUUCAAACAUCAGGAGAUUUUUCAAUUGAUCAAAAUACUGAAAAGAUAGGAUCAUUCUCAGAUAGCAACUCAGAAAUAGAAGACCUGCCAAGCACAGCCCAGUUCAAUAUUUAUCAUAGCGGGACUUCAUUCAGAGAACUUUUAGAAAUGGCAAGUUCAACCAUGUUGCAUGAAGUUAAUAGUCAAAGAGACAAAUCAACUGAGAACUUUAGAGACGCAUGUGAUCAGUCCAUAGACUUGAACCAUGACAACCAAGUAGGAAACUUGGAAAAAUCAGAUGUUACUCUUACUCGAGACACUUUUGAAACACCCAUCACCAAGGAAUAUGCUUUGGAAGCAACCCCAAACUCGGGAGUGCUUGAAGUUAACUGCUAUGAUCCUCUAAAAAUAGAAGUCCCAUCAAGUGAUUCCUCAAAGAAUAAAGGUGAGAAUGAUAAGAGGCAUAGUUUUCGAACAGAUUCCAACUCCAAAGCUGCAUUUGUCAAUUCUCAUGGUAUGAUAUCUCAACUUCAUUCCUUGCAAGAAAUUAACCAUGAACAGCAUAAUGUUUUUAUCAUUUCAGGACAAACUCAGGAUCCCAUGCAGAAAGCAAGAGAUCAAAAAUUUGGUGAUCACAAGAAUGAAAAGAAGAAAAAAAACAGCAAAAAAAAUAGUAAGAAGGAACCUGCCCCAAAGAAAGCUGCCCCAAAAAAAGCUGCCCCAAAGAAAGCUGCCCCAAAAAAGGCUGCCCCAAAAAAAGCUGCCCCAAAAAAACUAAAAAGCGAGAAAGAGGAAAAUAACUUUGAUUGGGAUAGUUUAAGAAUACAAGCACAGGCUCGGGCAGGGAAGAGAGAAAAGACCGAAAACACCAUGGACUCUGCGGACUGGGAUGCUGUAAGACGUGCAGAUCUCAGUGAAAUUUCCAAAAUAAUCAGAGAAAGGGGCAUGAACAACCUGCUGGCUGAUCGUAUUAAGGUAGAAUCCAAGAUUGUGAAGUGCAUUUGUCAGCAUUUAUCAGAAAGAGAAAAACUUAAAAACAGAUUAUGUCAAAUGAAUUACUAUGCAGGGUUUCCUCAAUAGAAUGUUUGACAAGCACGGGAGCCUUGAUCUGGAGUGGCUGAGAGAUGUUCCACCUGACCAAGCAAAGUAAGUCUAGAUAUUAUCAAACUACUUUGAAAUCAUAUUUCCGUGUUGGUAGGGUUGGCAAAACCAACAUACGAGCCCCUCUAUUCACUAGCAACACAUGUCAUGCACACUCACAUGCAAGCACAAAAAAUGCAUAAUGUUAAUUCAAUUUAUACGUCCAGAGAAUUCUUGCUCAGCAUAAAGGGAUUGGGAUUGAAAAGUGUGGAGUGCGUUCGACUCUUAACACUACACCAUCUUGCUUUCCCGGUAAGUUGAGAACAUUAAUCCAAAAUUAGAGGAUUAAGAAAUAUAUUUUGACAGUUUGUUGCCUAAAUAGGUGGACACAAAUGUUGGACGCAUAGCAGUACGUUUGGGAUGGGUACCUCUCCGGCCACUGCCAGAGUCACUACAGUUGCAUCUUCUAGAACUGUGAGUUCCACAAUAAUAAAUAGCAAGAUGCAGUUAUUCAGUCAGUAAAAAAAAGAGCUAACCUGACAUCAUUGUCCUGUAUAGGUACCCAGUGUUGGAGUCUGUACAAAAAUAUCUCUGGCCUCGACUCUGCAAGCUAGACCAAAGAACAUUGUAAUGAUUAUUUUCAAUUGGAAGUUAUACAUUAAAUUAUAUAAGUAGCUUCUAGUUGCUGAUUUAAUUUUUGAACAAUGGCCAACAUAAACAUGUAUUUAGUAUCAUGAGAUCAUGCUUAGACGCAUCAUGUCAUACUCACCUAAUUAUCUUGCAUUUCAUAAUUAGAUGAUAGCGUUAAAAUGUUCUCCAUCAUAAUUAAACUCUCAUUGAUUUCUUUAAUGUUUUGUUGCUCUUUACUGAAGGUAUGAGCUGCAUUACCAGCUGAUUACAUUUGGAAAGGUAAACUACAUUUUCUCAUACAUUAGAGAGAUGAUCCUACUUAAGUGAAACCCUGUUAUGACUGGAAAGGAAACUAAAAUCAAUUCAUGCAGGUUUUCUGUACUAAAAAACAACCAAAUUGCAAUGCAUGCCCGAUGAGAGGGGAAUGCAAACACUUUGCAAGUGCCUUUGCAAGGUAUGAUAAAUUAAGAUUUCUUGCAGUUAUUCAUACAAAAGGGUGGACUAUUGUUAUGCACCACACCGUCACUCAGACACAGAAAAAUUGUGAAGCUAAAAGACAACAUUACGUAGUUCAUAAAUCCAGUAUUAUCAUGCUCAAUGCCUCACUGUAUAGACCACACUUAGUAUAUUUUAUCUAUAAAAUGAAGAAAAAAAAAUUGUUGUCAGUACCACUUUCAAGAUUAAAUGCAUGCAUCGCAUGAUAUGAAUUAUGAUAAACUAACUUACAAGUAAACAAUGUUAAAUAUUGCAGUGCAAGACUUGCCCUGCCAGGACCAGAGGAGAAGAGAAUAGUAAUCCCGUCCGGAAACAAUGCAAACGAGCAGAACCCACCACUAGUUAUCAAUCAACCGCUCUUGUUUCUCCCUGGGAACACUAUUCAAGACGAACUUCAACAAACAAAAGUGAUCACACAACCUAUUGUAGAAAUGCCAGCAUCUCCAGAGCCCGAAUGCUCCCAACCGUCAGAAAUUAUGGAUAUAGAGGACGCCUUCAAUGAGGAAUCAUGUGAAAUUCCAACCAUAAAACUAGACAUAGAAGAGUUCACUUUGAACUUGCAAAACUAUAUGGAACAAAGCAUGGAACUUCAAGAAGGAGAAAUGUCAAAGGCCUUGGUUGCUUUACAUCCAGAUGCUGCACGCAUUCCUACACCCAAGCUGAAGUAUAAGAGCAACUUGAGAACAGAGCAUUACGUGUAAGUGGGAAAACUAAUUCAUCGCACACUAUUUAAUUGGAAUUCACAAUUUUAAUACAGGAAAACAGGCUAACUAAUGAGAUGAGGAGCAAGUAAUUUAACAAGCAAAACAUGUUGUACAAUUUCAAUUUAUCAAGAAAUAUGCAGAGAUUAAUAGUUAACCACAAAGUAACAAGAAUCUCCUAUUCAAUACACUCCAGUGUUUGGCAGAGUUCUGAUGAAGCAUCGUAUCAAUCAUACUAUAUUAGUGAAAAAUUCUUGUAAAUUAUUCUGAUAUUGUGUUCGCUUUCUUGCAGUUAUGAACUCCCUGAUUCACAUCCUCUUCUGAAUGGGGUUAGUUAUUUCUACAUCCACUAAACAUAAUUGUGUUUCAUUAUACGUGCCCAUUUUGUUAAUUAGUUAUUAACUACAGUGGGAACAGCGAGAACCAGAUGAUCCAGGGAAAUAUCUUCUAGCUAUAUGGACCCCAGGUGAACAAAAAUAACUUGACACCAUGUUUUUUUUCUAAAUUAGUUUGGACUAGCUGUAGUUUUUGUUACCAUUUACAGCAGUACAAAUAUAUGAUUAUUUUGGUUUGUGGUCCUUUUCAUGUUGCCAAACACAUUGUGUACAACAGGGGAGACAGCAGAUUCCAUACAACCACCAGAAAGAAAAUGCAGCUCUCAGGACUGUGGACAGCUUUGUAAAGAAAAUGAAUGUUUUGCAUGCAACAGUGUCCGUGAAGCAAAUUCACAAAUAGUUCGAGGAACACUCCUGGUCUGAAUGCUUAACCAUUCAUUGUUUAUUAUUCUUAGCACUAAUAACAUCAUGCUGGAGAAACAAAUAACUGGGUAGAGAAGCAAUUUGCAUAUGAAUGCAAAUAUUAUAAUAGGCUAACUAUAAAUAAUUUCUGAAUAGAUACCAUGCCGAACAGCUAUGGGAGGGACCUUUCCGCUAAAUGGGACCUAUUUUCAAGUCAAUGAGGUAAAAAAAGUGUUGUGGCUUAUUAGAAAUUUAUUUCGCUAAUGUGUUGCUAAAUUAAGUACUAAAAUAUAAUUUGAUGCAGGUUUUCGCUGAUAAUGACUCAAGUAUAAACCCAAUUAGUGUUCCCCGAAGUUGGAUCUGGAACCUUCGUAGGAGAACAGUGUAUUUUGGAACCUCCGUAACACACAUAUUUAGAGGUAUCUACUUAAAAAAUAUGUUACUAAAAUAGAUAGAUAUCAAACUAUUAUACUACUGAAUGCGUAUUCUUUUGUCAACCAGACCUAUCAACACAAGAAAUUCAACAAUGCUUCUGGAGAGGUAAGAUUUAUCUCACAGAAUGUAAUCCUACUUAUUGGUAUUCGAUAUCCCAGUUCAACUGGUUCUUUCUUUUAUAAUAAGCUCCAUUAGAUCACAGUCUUUGUAGAAACACUAAGUGAGCAAUAUUACGCACUUGUAUGACUUUAUAAGAAAAUAUUACUCAUUUGUAUGACUUUAUCUACUCAUCAUAUGAUGGAUGUCACAAUCAUGACUCAUCCAUAGAAGGACAAUGGAAUAUGUAGGAAUUUCAGUGUAUGUGACAUCCAAUUUUACAAAUCCUACUGAAGUUUGAAUUGAAAGCACAUUAAUUUAUUUUUUUUACAAACAAGGCCGGAGACAUCAUCAUUCCAACAAAUUAGAAGCAUGACUUACUUCACGAGUGAUUAGAAAUAUAGUUUAUUUAUUAUAUAUAGUAUAAUAGACGUUUAAUGAUAAGUCAUUUGACAACCUAUAACCCAGACAAAUGUAUGUUGUACACAUGUACUUACUAGUAAAGCCACCCAUGUAGCUUACUUCCGGCGGCACACCCCUUAUCCAGGAGUCAUAACAAACUGAAAGUCCGAAGUCAUGAUUGAUAGCAACUCCCUUUGGUAGCAAUUCCCUUUUGCCUAAGAACUCUGACCGAUGUCUUUUUUUCAAUAAUCUAGCAAGCAACCAUAUUUAUCACCAUCAUAUAUUAUAAUACACGUUUAAUGAUAAGUCAUUUGACAACCUAUGACCCAGACAAAUGUAUGUGGUACACAUGUACUUACUAGUAAAUACUUCCGGCGGCACACCCCUUAUCCAGGAGUCAUAACAAACUGAAAGUAUGAAGUCAUGGUUGACAGCAACGCCCCUUGGUAACAAUUCCCUUUUGCCUAAGAACUCUGACCGAUGUCUUCUUUUUUCAAUAAUCUAGCAAGCAACCAUAUUUAUCACCAUCGUAUAUUAUAAUAGACGUUUAAUGAUAAGUCAUUUGACAACCUAUGACCCAGACAAAUGUAUGUGGUACGCAUGUACUUACUAGUAAAAGCACCCAUAUAGCUUACUUCCGGCGGCACACCCCUUAUCCAGGAGUCAUAACAAACUGAAAGUUUGAAGUCAUGGUUGACAGCAACUCCCCUUGGUAGGAAUUCCCCUUAGCCUGAGAACUCUGACCGAUGUCUUUUUUCUCAAUAAUCUAGCAAGCAAACAUGUUUAUCACAAUCAGUAUAGACAUUUCUUACAAGUGACACUAUAUGCUCUUCGCAUAUUGGAAAAUUUAAACACACAUUUCAAUUCUCGCAAUAUUAUAUAUAUCCAGUGUUUUUUACAUACCAAAUUAUGUAUCUGACUGCCUGUGUUUCCUUUCUUCCUUUUUGUAUGGAGCAAUGUAUGAUACACACCAAAAAACCUCUAAACUCACUACUCAAAUUUGCUAAACGAAUUAUUAUUUCUAGCUUUUAUUUUAGCUAUAAGUUAUUUCUAGAAGACUGAUUUAAAAGGCAGAUUUUUUCCUAAUACGAGGACUGCAAACGUUAACCUACAAGAUAGGCAAGUGAGUAUAUAACCUGACAUAUUUAAAAGGGCAAUUUAAAUGUUUUGCAGGAUAUGUUUGCGUGCGAGGAUUUGACAGGGAAAGAAGAGCGCCUCGGCCUCUGUUGGCUAGAUUGCACAUCCCAAUUAGCAAGAAGCCUAAGGAUCCUAAUGCUCCUAGGAAGCCUAGGAAGCCUAAGGAUCCUAAUGCUCCUAGGAAGCCUAGGAAGCCUAAGAAUCCAAAGAAUAAGGACAACACCCAAAAGAAGUCCAAGCCGGCAACACAAUCUAAAAAGAAACAAAAACAGCCAUAAUUGUUUUCCGGCAUUCAGGAGGGCGGUGAAGCCUGGAGACCGACAAAUGUUAUUCAAUAUUCAUCAUGUAUCCUGUGUAUUAUAGCAGAGCCAUGGUCAUGCUAAAAUACUUGACAAUUCUCAGAUUAGGACUAGGACCAAGACAGUAUAAUGGUUUCAAAUUUGCUUUUCAGCUCCGUGAAGAUCGAAGAUGUGUGUGAGGCAGGUGAAAUGAGGCUACUUACGCGAGAACAAAGCACAGUUGCACUCAUCAACAUUCUUCUACAUUUGAAUUUGUAUGACUUUAAAUUAACUAGUUCGUGUUGUAGUAUUUAUCAGAUUUAAAACUUCGAAUUUCAUUUCUUAGUUGCAUAAAUGUGUCAUGUUUUACAAUUCUUCAAUUUUCUAGAUCUGUUAACAACAAACUAAUAUCUUCAAGUUCAAAAUCAAAAAAAGAAUCGUACGAUCCCAUGAAUUGCGACGAAGGCAUCAUCAUGAAACCAAACCGACCCUGCCGUAACAUUUAUAAAAUCGAAGCUUUGGAACGACAAUAGAAAAAAGCGAAAGUAUAUAAAGAGCUUUCAGAUGAAGAAGAAUACCUCUUAGGUCUUCGUCCUCAGAAGCAGAAACUGGAAGAGUGACAUGCUUAGAGAGUGAGAGGAGCAAGGUAAAUAGAUACUUGCAGGGUGAGAAGAUGAAGGGAGGUGAAGAGGUAUUUAUAGAACCCUUUUUUUGCCGCCUUACCCAUUCUUAUUUUUAUUCCCUCCCUUUUUUACUUCUAACUUUGUUUGCCGCCUAGCAAAGGGUAAUCUUGUCUUUUUGGAAAUAUUAAUAUUAAUGAUUCUAUUUUACUUAAAUUCAUAGAAAUUAAACUUAUCGUUUUAAAAUUACAUAAUAUUUUAAGUGAAAAAAUGUAACUUUAAAAAAGCAACAUCUAAAAUUUUAAAAUAAUAUAAGAGUUUAAUAGUUAUAUGUUGCAAAUAAAUUUGUGAAAAUUAGUCGAAUGUGCCAUGACUCAAACUAAUCAAGUUUAUAAUUUUAAAAAAUUAAGUUAAUUUGAUUCAGUUCAACAAGUUAAAUGGACUCAGCUCAAUUUUGAAUAGGAACUUUUUACCGGGUUAAGUCAAGUCAUUUUUUACCUUUAACUUGUAAAAUUGUUUUGUAUUAUCAGUGCAUAAUUUAUUUUUCUUGACAAUAACUGACAAACUAGUUUAUAAUUACGCAAAAUAUUCAACAAUUUAUUUAUUUAUCUUUACAAUUUAACAUUUAAUUCAAUAGUUAAAAUGUUUUUCAUAUGAUUAAUAAACCUAGUACCUGUUCUAGUGAGUUUUGAUUUAAUCAUAUGAUUAAUUUAGUUUGGGUUUAGAAAAAAUCAUCAUCUGAUAUAAAUCAAAUGAAUCUCACUAAAACAAGUUAGUUUUAUUUUAAUAGUCAGAUUAUGAUAAACAGUAAGUUAUUAUAAUUUUGAAUCUUUUUAUUUUUAUUUAUUGUUUAUCUUGUAACAUUUUUAAUUGUAUAUUAAUAUGAGAUUGAUAAUAUUCUUAAUGGGUAAUUUUUUAUUUUAUUCAUUCCUUUUGUACUAAUAUAAUAAAUAUACAUACAAUGAACAUGACAAAACUAAGAUGCUUAAUAACGAUGUAUGGUCGUAAGAAUGGUCCAAUAAUCAAAAGGAGAAAAAUAAAAGUAGAAGCAAAAUUUAACUAGUAAAAAAUCUGAAACCUAUCAAUUCAAAAAAAAAGUUAGUUGAAUAAUUGUUGAUUGGAGUUUAAAAAAUUAAGGAAUUGAACUUAUGAGAAUCAGUUUAAUUUAUAAUGGAAGAAAAAAAUAAAAAAAUGAUUGAAUUAAUUUUAGUCACUUCGAUUAUGAGAUUUUUUUUAUUCUCGCCUUUUUUUCGUUAAAUUCACAUCCUAACUAAUUCUUUUUAUGGUUGCUAUAUUAAUUGCUUUGUUAUUGUUUACCUAUUUAACAUUACAAUUUUUAUUACAUCGAUUUUAUCGUCAAUUUUUAAAUUGUUAAAAUUAUUUUAAUAAAAAUUAUUCUUAUUGGCGGAAUGAUUUGUGUGUGACAAGACUUUGCACUUUCCUCUUUCCAAUGUUCUUUUAUGAUUCUUUCCCAACAAACAAAGCUACCAAUAAAAUUCUUCAGACUGUGGUUUUUAUCUUUACGAUAGCAAAUUUAUUGCAAUGGCACACUUUAUAAUGCAAAACUAAUAUUUCAGCUUUUCGAGAAAUUGAGCUUUCAUUUUCUAUUCUGACAGAACACAGUUAUUAUCACUAGUGAAUAAGAAUAGGUUAAAAUUUAACCUCCCAAGAAUCAACUCUGACAUUUGCAUGGUAAACAAUUGGAAGAAUGUGUUUUCUGGUAAAUUUUUAUUUGCAUAUUUAAUUAUUGGAAAAAAAUAUUUUUUUUGUCUAUAAUAUAUAUUUUAAUCUAUGUUAUUUUACACAUUUAUUUUUUAGAAAAAAUAAAAUGGUAUGACACAAAAUAUUGUUGGUGAUAAAAGAUUUUGAAUAAUAAAAGUCAUGUCUAGAUAGACUCACAGGGGUUCAAAUGUCGAUACGCAUUAAAUAAAAUACAGUGAGGUUGAGUGCAUGCAAGCCACGUAAAUUGAUUUGGCUGAAUUUAUUAGGGUUUUGACAUUUUCUACACAUGCAAGGACCACCACCGACCAUGCUAUCCAACCACCUCGCUCUCCUUCACUAUCAUCAUCACAGGUUUUAAGAAAACUAGGGAUUGAAACCUGUGAUAGUUAAUUGCAGGAACAAGGAACGAGACAUUUGAAUUCCACUCUAUUGUCAGAUUUUCUUUUAAGACAGUAAUAAUUAUAUCAACCAAAACUUACUUCUGGACAUCACAUGAAUGGGAUAAGGAUAAACCUUAUUUUAUAAUUUAUUUUAUAAAAUUAAAUAAAAUUUAAAUUCGUAUAAUAAAUAGUAUCCUAGGAAUAUUAAUUAAAUAUUUCAAUCAGUUGGUAAAUGGUGUCAAAUAUGAUCGUGGUUCUGAGUAUAAACUUGUUUAGACAAAUUUCUCAAAAAAGCUUAUAAAAUAAAAUUGAAUUUUAAAUUAUGAGAUGAUAUAUGAGAUGAGAUAUGAGAUUAGAUAUGAGAUGAGAAAUGAGGUGAGAUAUGAGAUGAUAUAAUAGACGAGACACAAGAUGAUAUGUGAGAUGAGAAGUGAGACGAGACAUGAGAUAAAAUAUGAGAUGAGAUGAUAUAUGAGAUGAGAUAUUAGAUGAGAUAUGAGACGAUAUAUGAGAUGAGAUUAUAUAUGAGAGGAGAUGAUAUGUGAGAUGAGAUAUGAGAUGAGGUAUGAGAUGAGACAUGUGAUGAGAAAUGAGGUGAGAAAUGAGGUGAGAUAUGAGAUGAUAUGUGAGAUGAGAAGUAAGAUUUGAUAUGAGAUGAGAUAUGAGAUUAUAUAUGAGAUUAUAUAUGAAAUGAGAAAAGAGGUGAGAUAUGAGAUGACAUGUGAGAUGAGAUAUGAGAUGAUAUGUGAGAUGAGAUAUGAGACGAGAUAUGAGAUGAGAUAUAAGAUGAGAAAUUAGGUGAGAUAUGAGAUGAGAUACGAGAUGAUAUAUGAGAUGAUAUAUGAGAUGAGAUAUGAGAAGAGAUUAUAUAUGAGAUGAGAUAUGAGAUGAAAGAGUCAUGAAGUGCAUGACUUUGUUAUAAUUUAAACCUACACGAUAAAUAAAAUCUCCUCACUUCAUCAUAUUUAUAGAAACCACACGUUGCAUCUUUAUAAAAUACCAUACUUACGAGAAGUCCAUACAAUUUUACAUUUUUCAUUAAAUAAAUUAAUAAUAAAACAAAUAUCAACUAAUUCACGGCAUAGUAUAAAAUGAGUCAAUUUAGAAAAAUUGUCAUCUGUCACAGGGAUAGAAUAAUGAUCACUUGUUUACUUUUACAAACCAAACACAUAAUGAAUACAAAUAUUAAACCAAUGAACAUGUCAUAUACUAGGAAGACAUACAAGUUGCCAUACAAAGCUCUAAAUUUGGUCUUCUUAUAUGUAGUGUUUUUUUUUUUUUAUAAAACCUUUAAACAUCUCUUCAUAUGUGACAAAAUAAUGUUUCCUUACAACAAUUUUUUUUUUAAGUUUCAAAAUGUCCUAUUAAAUAUCCCUCAUUAAUUUUUUUUUAUGACAAAUAAUUAUCUUAAAGAAUUUUAUGAGAACACAAAUAUUUUAUCUCUAAAAAGGAAGUCAUAUUAAGCUAAAAAGGAAGUCAUAUUGUAAGAAAAAACCUUUGUAUGACUCACAUCCUGAUCAAACUAACUAGAGUAAUAAUUGAUAUCGGUUAAAUAUGUUUUUGGUCCCUGUAUUAUAACACGAAAUUUGUUUUUAUCCCUGAUCCAAAUUUUAAACCAUUUAGGUCCUUGUAGUAUGAAAAUGAUUGGAACGAAUUAUCCUGUAUGUGAAAUGAUUGUUAGUUCUUUUAAAAGAUUUUUAAUUUUUUUCAAAUGUUGUGUUUGUUUUGAUUGUAGAUUGAUGCCCAUUAUAACUACUUCUAAUGUGUUGAUGAAGUAUAACCUCAGAUUGAAUCAAUUUCACAUACAUAAUGACACAUUCUAUUUAUUUUUCAUACUACAUACACCUGAAUGAUUUAAAGUUUAGAUCAAACACAUAAACCAACUUCGUAUUAUAGUAUAUGAAUGAUGAGCAUAUAUUUAUUCACACACAAUAGCCUUAAUCAUAGAUUAUUGGACUAUAAUAAUAAAUAAAUCCAUUGUUUUAAUUAAUAUCCAUAUAAUUGGGUUUAUUUUGGCCUUAACUAUUAUUAUUGUUAAUUUUGUGUUUUUAGAGUAAAUUAUCUGAAGCAUCUACCUUUGUGAAUGGGCCAAACAUGCAAAAGUCCAAGUUGCUUCUUUGAAUCAAAACAGAAAACAAAUUCUGAGGAAAAGAAAGAGAAAAUAAAAGCUACAAGAUUCCAAAAACAGAAUUGGAAGCAAAUCUUCUGCAAAAUAAAAAGAAUUAUGGAAAGUGAAAAUUGUUUACAAAAUCUAAACUGCAAUAUUUUCCCAAGAUCCUUGGAGCAGAAAAGCCUAUAAAAGGACACAAGCAUCAAGGAGAGAAGAGAGGAGCUUCAUAGGGUUUUCUUAGUUUAUUUUCUUCUUAGUAAUUCUUUUGUUUUGCCUCCGCAUGGAAGGCUAAACCUUUUUGGUUGAUUCUUUUGUAAUUCCCCAUUGAGUUCUGAGGUUUUGUUCCAAUAAAAGUUUCGAUUUUUAAUUCUCUAUAGCAGUUGUUUUUAUUGUCUAAUCUCCUGGAAAACUUGUUUUUGUGAGAGGUUGUACUUGAACGCAUGAUUGAGAGUAUUCCUUAUCUUAAACUUUGGUUUCUUAGUUAGUUCGCAUUGUUCUAAUUAAUUUCUUGGGCGCAUGAUUCAAGGGAGAGGAGGUAAGCAUUCCCAUGGAGUAUACGCAUGGAACAAAGUGGGUAUUGAUUAAACUAGUAGACGCAUGCUUUACUGGUGAGUUUUAGUUGAAUUAGAUCAUGUUCAAUCUGGUUUAGCUCUAUUGGAGGAUUGAGAAAAGAUUAAUCUUUAGAGAACCUGUGAAGAAUUCAAUGGUGGAAGAACUUGGGAUCAACCGCUUUUUAUUUGCUAUUUUAAUUUCUUUUAUAUUUUUUGCACAACUAUCUCAAACCCCCUUUUCAUCUUUAUUGUUAUUGCUAACUUUUAUUGCUUGCAGAUAGAUUUUAAACCCUAAUCAACGACUUGGGACAUUUGUCCACAAUUAUACUAUCAUCUCUCUAGUGUUAGACAAAUCUACGCUAGAAUCAUAUUAAUUUGACAGCAAAACGACAGCUAUCAAUGAACUAAAAACAUAUUUAUUAUAAAUUAAUAUUUAAAAUUGACAAAAAAAAAUUCAUUAAUUACGAUUUACACAUUUUGGUCAAAUUAAGAUUAUUUUUCAUAUCUAUAAGGAUUGUUCUCCUUUAAAAAGAAAAGAAAUGUAUAUUUAUACGAGAAUCUUAUUAAACAAACAAAUUUUCAUAUAUAUAUGUACAUUAAUAAUUACAUAUAAAUUCUAAGAAAUAAAUUUUAUAUUUAAUUUAAAGUAUGAAAUAUAUCAUUUAAGUACUAAUUAUAUUUAUUAUUAAGACAAUAUUAUUUAUUCAUUCACACGUUGAACAAACAUUAGUUCUAACUCAACUAUAACUAACAAAUUAAUUUCACACGAAUCAAUAAUAAAAUACUUAGUAUUAUUAACUAAUUACUUUUUUAUUAAAAUACUCUUUAUUACAACUUUCCAUAAUAUACAUUAUCUUUUGUACGAAUAUGUACAUUGUUUAAUAUUUUUCACUUAUAUUAAGAAUAAUAAAAAAUAUGAUAUUUAUUUAUUUUUUCAAUAAUUUCUUUAAUCACUAGAAAAUAACUAUCAUGCAAGUAAAUUAAUAUUAAAAUUUAAUAUUACUUUAUUAAGAAUUAAAAAAACAGUAAUAAAUUAGAAAUAUUUAUAAAUCUAAUAGUAAGUAACAACUCUUGUAAGUUGUAUCUAAGUUCAUAGUACCAAGUGUCAUACAAAUAAGUUUCAUAAUAAUUGAAAAGUAUAAAAAUAAUAUAUGUAGAAUCGGACAUACAAAUGAAAUUAUAUUAGUUUAUCUAUUAGACAGAAUCGGCUACGGUAAUUACUAGUGAAGUGUUCGGUUCAUCCGUGUGUGUGUAUAUAUAUAUAUAUAUAAUGACUCUGAGAAAGAUUGGAAAGCUCUGUCUACUACUAAAAUUUUAAAGUCAAACCUAAAAUAAAACGGUCCAUACCGGCGAGGAGUGGUGCGGGACCUUCUGAUCCAACGUGUGAACCAAAAAUCAUUGCGCCACACCAUACUUCCAAAAGGUUACCAAACCGCUAAAAUAAACAAAAAGAUCGUUAGGACUAUUACGAAGGAGAGAAGGAACCAAUUGAAAGGGAACGAAUGUACAAUGGCGGGUUUUAGGGUUCUGUGAGCCCGCCACACAGUCUCCAUGGAAAUGUCUGCCAGAAGAUCCAGCAACUACUCUCUCCUCAACCAAACGCCAGAGGACAAUCCGUUGUUCGAAUCUCCUUCCGGAGACGGUAAAAACAACAGAAGCAAGUUGGAGAGAGUAUCCGAUUGGGACUCCGUCGUCGAUCACAGACAGGGGAACAGGAUCGGGAAUUUGUACUCCUCUUUCGGGAUGCAGCGACAGUCGAGUGGGAGCAGUUUCGGUGAAAGCUCACUCUCCGGCGAGUUUUACGCUCCCACUAUGUCCACUAUGGCCCCCGAGGAGACUGACGAAUUCAAAUUUGGUGAGGUCAGAGGCAGGAUUCCAGACGCUGGGGCGGCGAUGAGCGGCGGAUCCUAUGGCAAGAGCGGCGGGUCCUACAGCAAGAGCUGGGCUCAGCAGACUGAGGAGAGUUAUCAGUUACAGCUGGCAUUGGCUCUUCGACUUUCCUCUGAGGCUACUUGUGCUGAUGAUCCCAAUUUUCUGGAUACAGUGCCCCAUGAAUCAUCCUCUUCAAGGGCAACGUGUUCGGCAGAGACAGUGUCCCAUAGGUUUUGGGUAUGUUGAUUGUUUGUUAUGCUAACUGCUAUUCCUAUUGUGAUUGGUUGUCAAGUUUGGAUGAUAAUUGUGAAUUUGGAACUUGUGAGCAGGAGAGCUUUAGGUUAAUGUCUUAUCUGAGCUAUAUUUAGUCAACGAGUAACCACCAAUGAAAAAACACAACAAUCCGUCAAUGAUGGACUUUGUCACAACAUGGUUCUGGUUCUCGUGAAGCAUGAAUUUUUAUUCCGAAAUUAAGUUAUUCCGAAAGCAUUCUUAUUGGUAUAAAUUAGAGAGGUAUAAUAAAUUGAAUUUCUUAAGUAAAUUAAAAUAAACUUUUGCUCCUCAAUUUUUUUUUGGUGAAGUGGAAUAAAAAUCAAGUUGAUUUUAGCUUAUGAUAGAUUCUUAAACUUGUUUUGUCUUCUCAUUUUUUUAUUCUUGAAGUGAAGCUGCUGCUGUUCUAUGGUUUACAUCACAGUAUGCAUGUGUAUAAUUGAGUCUGUAUGGGAUUGUUUGGUUUUCUAGGCUGUAUUCAUAGGAUUAUGUUUUUUUUUUAAAUGGAAAAUUUUGUGGAGAAUUUUAAGCUCAUGAACUAGUGUUUCUUGGUAUUUGACUUGACUGGAUAAGAUUGGGGAGUGCUUAAGUAAAAAACCCUAUUUGAGCUGUGUUCAUUAGUUGCAAAGGGUGGAGUUGGAUCAUGAAUUGCAAUGUGCAAGUCCUGCCAGGAUAAACAAGGAUAUCAGGCCUUUUACUUUGAAUGUUUGUUAGAAAAAAUAUCAACUACUCUCAUCUGACAGUAGAAAAACUGCCUCCUUGAAUUGUGGCAUUUUGCCUUAAUUUGCACCAAUCCUGUUUUAAAUCAUGACGCUGGGUCUGGGAACGUGUCCUGAAGGUCCUGUUAUUAUUUUCAUGUAUGGUGCUUUUUGAAACUUGUAUUACAGAAAGAAACACUUUUCCCAUUUUCUGUAUUUUUUAACACCCAUUUAUUGGAAUUUUGACUGUUUUAAAAGUUGUAGCAAAUCAUGAAAAUAUCUGAUGAAUGUUUCCCCAUUAUUGGGGAUGACAUAGUAUGUUUGUUACCGACUAUUCCCGUUUUUCCCAUUGGCAACAGAAAACUAGCUACUUUAAUGGUGACAUUUCACCAUCAACUUGUAUUAAUUUUCUGUGGUUUUGCCCGAUGGGCGUAUUAUCCUUUUUGUUUUUCCUGUUCUGAAUUCUUAUACUUAAAUUUACUGUUUUAAGGAGUUGGUUAAAUCUUGAAUCUUAUACUUAAAUUUACUGUUUUAAGGAGUUGGUUAAAUCUUGAAAUGAAGUGUGUAAUAUUUUGGCGUUAUUGUGUGGGUGGGUGACAGAAUGUUCUUUGUCCUAAUGGAGGGAUAUAAUUAUAAUUUUUUUAGGGAAUAAGUGAAAUGUGGUUGUUAAGUUGAUGUGUGACUUUAAGUUAACAAGGGAAAAACCUUCAUCUCUUUUAUUAUAUUCUUUGCCUUUCAUUUUAAAAUUAACUUGCUCUAACUUUACUCAAAAUUCACGGAGGAAUUGAUAUGUUGUUUUGUUAAUAACAUGCACCAGGUGAAUGGCUGCCUAUUAUACUUCGACAAAAUUCCUGAUGGAUUUUAUCUAAUUCAUGGAAUGGAUCCGUAUGUAUGGACUUUGUGCACUGAUCUGCAGGAAAGUGGCCGAAUUCCUUCAAUAGAGACACUAAAAUCUAUAGAUCCUUCUUCCAAAUCUUCACUUGAAGUAAUUUUGGUGGACAGACUUUCUGAUCCUAUCUUAAAAGAAUUGCAGAACAAGGUACAUGACAUUUUUUGUCGUAGCAUAUCAACAACAUAUGUUGUAGAACAGCUUGCAAAGCUUGUAUUCGAUUGUAUGGGGUGAGUCUCCUUGACAUUGUUAGCUAUGAACUAUUUAGCUUGCACCAGUCUAACCGUGUUUUAUUGUUGUAAUAAGGGGUUCAGCUUCUGUAUGGGAAGACAAUCUUUUUCCCAUAUGGAGGGAGUGCAUUAAUAAUCUAAGAGAUCGCUUAGGAUCUGUCGUUGUUCCUAUUGGCAGCCUAUCUACUGGACUUUGCAGGCAUCGUGCUGUAUUAUUCAAAGUAAUACCUUUAAUUCUAUGUGAUGGCCAAGGCUGUGAUUAUGUAUUUUGACUACAUUAUUAUUUUUUAUUUUUUUCUUGGUGGGGAUGGGGUGGGGGGGUUUCAAUGGUUUAAUAAACGUGAUGGUUUUUGUGUUGCUUUUGCACUAACAUGCCUUAUGCAUGCUAAAUCUUCAGGUGCUAGCUGACACCAUUGAUUUACCGUGUCGAAUUGCAAAGGGCUGUAAAUAUUGUUCAAGAGAAGAUGCCUCAUCAUGUCUUGUUCGAUUUGGCCCUGACAGGUAUAUGUUUUGGUGCUUAGCACAUCAGCUAUUCUGUUAACAAGUACAACUACAAUUUAAAUUGAUGUUUUCCAUGAGCAAUGCCAUGUGAUCGUAGAAUGAUGAAGUGAAAAAUUACUAAUGUGUUAUAACCUUUCAGUUAACAUUUUGGGAACUGACUCCUGUUUAAAACCAUAUAAUUACAGGGAAUACAUGGUUGAUCUAAUUGGAAAGCCGGGUUGCUUAUGUGAGCCUGAUUCCUUACUGAAUGGUCCAUCCUCCAUCUCAUUUUGUUCACCCUUGCACUUUCCAAGACUCAAACCAGCUGAACCUACCAUUGAUUUCAGGUCACUGGCCAAACAAUAUUUCUCGGAUUGUGUGUCUACUGAGCUUGUCUUCGAUAGUGGUGUUGCAGGUGAUAUUCAUGUUUCCUAUUCAAUGUAUGAUGCUCUAAAUAUAGUGCUGUAUUGCACUACUUUAAAUUUAGGGGAAAUUACACUUACUUCAGAUUAUGUUAAAUGACAUUCAUUUCCUCUAGUUUUAAAAUAGACUCUCACCUUGCACUACUUUAAAUUUAGGGGAAAUUACACUUACUUCAGAUUAUGUUAAAUGACAUUCACUCCCUCAGUUUUAAAAUAGACUCUCACCUUGCACUACUUUAAAUUUAGGGGAAAUUACACUUACUUCAGAUUAUGUUAAAUGACAUUCACUCCCUCUAGUUUUAAAAUAGACUCUCACCUUUCUUAUGUUUUUAAUCAAAUGACACUCACAUUCCCUCUAGUUUUUAAAUAAAUAUCCACUCCCUUUUAUUUUUAAUAAGUGACAUUCAUCUUCCUUAUUUUAUUUAAAAACAUCAUAUUGGUUAAAAUUUAAAUAUAAAAACUAUGAAAAUUAAAAAUUAAAGUUUUAAAAUAUGAAAAUUAAAUAAUUUUUAAUAAACAAUUUUUUUGAAUGGUUUAAUCGUUAUAUAUUAAAAAUAUCAUAAAUUAUAUUUCCACUAAAUUAUAAAUCAUCUUAUAAAAGUUUACAAAUAUAAAAAAUUAUAUUAUAUUUUUGAGAAAACAUUAUUUUAAUAUAAAAAUAAAUAAAUAGAUAUAAAAUAUGUGGUUAAAUUUAUUAACUUAUUCUUAUGUUUACAAAUUAUUUUAAUACAAACAUAAAUAUAACUAAAAUAAGGACUACUACUAGUGCUACUAUGUUAAUAAUAUAAGGAAGAUGAAUAUAUAUUUUUAAAUUACAAUGUGAUGUCGUUUUUUGGUCCUACAAUGGGUUUCCUCUAGUCUAUUUGGCCAGAUACUAAUAUCGCUUGAGAUACUGGGACUAUUGCUGACUUGACGAAUUCUUCACAUAAUGUGGAUCGAACAUGAGUUCCCUACUACAUGAAUAGUUCCCAUAACAUGUUAACAUCGUUUUAGAAGAUUUUAAGAAAGAUGAGUGUAAUUUUCCUAUAAUCAAGUCAUUCAAUUCUUUGUUAAUAAAACGUUCUUUAACUUUAAUAUUUUAGAAUUUUAGUUUUUAAUUUUUAUUUAAAAUGUUAUUUUUAAAUAGAUAAGAGAGUUGAGUUUCUCUUUAUUAAAAACAUAGGAGAGAAGCAUACCAUUUAUUGAAAACACAAGGGAGGUGAGUACCUAUUAAGAAACUAAAAUAGGUGUGAAUGUUAUUUUAUUAAAAACACGAGGGAUAUGUGUUUCUAUUUUAAAAAUUAAAAGGGUUGUGUGUGUCAUUUAGCAUUAUCUCAAGGGAGGUGCCCAAUUUCUCCUAAACUUUAUGAUUGUUAAAGUUUGGGACAUAAUGACAUUGGACUGAAUAUUGUGUGUCUAAAUACACAAGAGAAUAUGAGUUUAUAUAGACUCGUUACAUUUAUUAUGCAUGGAUAAAGGAUAUUUUAUUUCCUCUAAAAUUAAGGUUAUAUGUCUACAAUAAUAAACAAAAUAUAUUAUUCCGAUUCUCAACACUCCCUUGAAGCUCGAGCAUAUAAAUUAUAUGCACCAUGCUUGUUACAUUUGUAGCCUUUUGGCACACUCACAGAUUGGGUCACUAAAGUUGACAAAACAUAUGGCUUUUCAUGAGAUGUAAGAGUAUGCAGAGGAAUUUGGAAGACUCUAUCUUGCACCCAUCUCCUUUUAUACUUUUUUUUUUUCUGUUUUCUCCUGAUCUAUUUCUUCUUUCAAUUUUAACUCAUCCUCUCUUACCUGCUGAGGUGUAAGAGGACACAAAACGAAUUUAUUUUCCUUAAGAAAUAAAGUUAUUUUGUUUGUAAACCCUACCCUGUUACCCAAGGAAUAUUCUACUAACCCUACCCUGCAUGACAAGUUAGGGUUUCAUAGAAGAGGCCUCUCUCUCUCUCUCUCUCUCUCUUAAGAUUUGGGGUUUAUGAUCUAUCUCCUCUCUUGAAGUUCAAAUGAAAUCUAUUCUACUCAGCUCAUGAUACAAAGUUGAAAAGAAAACCUACACUAUUCUGUACAUGUAUUUACUACAAGGCUUAAGAGGAAGAAAGUAAAAUAUUUAUAGCUCUGCUUCAUCAUCUUCAUUCCCCUUAGCCUGAGUUGCUGGUGGCUGUUAUUGAUUUAGAUUUUGGAUUCUCCUUUCCAGAACAGUAUGAAAGGCAGUACAGGGACAGGAACCCUGGGCCAAUUCCAAAUGAUAACAACAGAAGUUCUCUUGUUCCUCCACAACCACAAGCUUAUCGUCCAAGUGCACAUAAUCGAGGCUCCGAAACAUUUAAAUCAGGUAACCCUCCACAGAAUGUUGUAGAGCCGUCAUUGCCAAGCAAGGAUUCAUUGCCUUUAAAGCAUAACCGUCCUGGUCAUAGAGAUGCACAGACCAGAUUACUGAUUUCUAGCAAACCAUCUAGAGACUUUUCCCUAGAUAUGGAGGAUCUGGACAUUCCAUGGACUGAUCUUGUUUUGAAAGGGAGAAUAGGAUCAGGUAUGUAUGCUCUUCUAUAACUUGCAUAUUAUUUAAAGUCUUGCUCUUUUUUGGUUGAUUCAUAUGGGAUGGGGUUGGUGUUUAGAAGAGAAAUGUUGAGAGAGGGAGCAUAAUCAAGGUAAAAAAAAGUAAUAUAAGGUAGUGGUAAAGUCAAUGAAAAUAGAAAAGAAGAAAAAACAAAAAGUAUGCUUAACAAUGCAAUAAAGCUCUUCAAUCCCUCUGCAUAUCUGACUGGGAGAGCAUCUGUCAAAAGAAGUCACGGUUCAGUGUGUCAACUAAAAGUCAUUUGAGUCCUUUCAAGUAUCUCAACGCAUAACAGCAGUAGGAUAAUAACGAUUGUUCUUUGACUUGUGUAUUAGAGGGGGAGGGGACGAGGGAGUGUCCUCACCUUAGCAGUGAAAAGAGGAAAAUAAGAAACAGUAAACUAAUUAAUGCAAUAAAACACUCCAAUCCCUCUUAUCUAAGGCAGGUUCUGUAACAAAGGUCAUGGUUCAGAGAACCAAAGAAGUCAUUUCAACUAUACUUUCACAUAAUUGCAGGAGGAUAACUAUGGACCUCUAACAUAUGUAUAAGGGAAGAAAAAGGGAAAAUGGACUUAGAGGUGUUGACCAUGGAAAAUUAUAAUUGUUCAUGAGAGAAGUAGGAAUGCUGCUAUGAGUAAGGAGGAGACAUUGGUAGAACAGUGUAAUAAAAUGUACAUAUGACAACAAGGUAUUGGAGAGAAGCAAGGAUUUUGGAUCCUGUUCUGUUCAUAAAUACCAGGAUGUAUAGUCCUGCUUGAGAGAAUGAGAGAAAAGAAGAAAAACAUAAUUAAUGGGUUAUAAUCAAGUCAUGGUGAACCUUCUCCCGAGUCUUUCUAUCAGAACCUUAUCUUCUUUCUUGCCCCCUUUUGGUGCAUAUACUGGGGAAACCACGAAAAUUGGAUUACCCUCUCCAGCAAUAAUGGAAAUUGUGAAAAUUAGAGCACACUGGAAUUCUUUAGGCGGCCUACCCUCUUUUCUUAGGUCAGGAUGCCCUUCGACCAUUUAAUGGGAUCUGAAAAUUGGAUAGCACUAUUGAGUCACAGAAAUAAAAUCCAUCUCCAUGAAUUCUCCUCAGAUAGACAAGAUGAUUCAAAUCCAUUGGGGGAGGGGGAUAUUAGUGAAGAAUGGAAAAAUUAUAACAGAAUUGAGGGAGUGACUGGUGGCAUCGUCCAGGGAAAGCUAUAUUGGCUCAGUUUGUUAUCUUUUAUUUGCAUUUUCUACAUAUCUGUCCAGUAUGUGUUGCUGUUAAUUGAGUAGUAUUUUUCUCUUAUAAAAGAUAUCUCCUCCUUGAGCACUAUCCUAUUUUCAGUAUUAAUACCAGUUACUAUCAGAUAACAAUAUAUCUAAGAAAAUAUGAGCAUUGUUUCCCAAAUCAAAAUACACCAUAGUGCAGCAGAAAUUAUCACAUCACCUCAAAAUUUUCCAGUGAUCCUACAAAAUGCUCUAAAGUUAACCAAUAAAAAUUGAGCCUGUGUUAAGUACACAGUAUUUAAUGAAUUACUAGCUUUACAUGCUUACUAUGGCUUGAAUUGCAAUUGGUAUAAAUAGUCACUAACUAAAUUUGGUCUGUUAUAUUUUCAGGUUCUUUUGGAACUGUACAUCAAGCUGAGUGGAAUGGCUCGGUAAGCCUCUCUCUCUAUUUCUUUCAUAAAUGCUGUAUAAAAUAAGAUUAACUCGGGAUUACUGAUAUUUUCAUGGGUUGCUUAUAUUAGUUGUUUUUCAGCAUCUGUCAUUGUAUCUUGCAAUUUCAACUAAAUCAUGUGUAAUUAGUAUAUUAAUAUGUAAAUAUGACCUCUCUCUAUAUGUGUACUAUAGUCAAAUUCUAAAAGUGGUCUCUGUUCAAUAUCUGGGAAAGUUUUUUUUCGUAUGAUAAAAUAUUUAGUACAGUUUUUGAAAAUAUCAUGCUUUCUUCUUGCUGGAUCAAAUGAUUGCAUCUUGAUCUUGUCAUAACCAAUACUUGUAGUGUUAAAAUAAGUCUUCUUAUUGUUCAAAGGUUGCUGUGCCUGAUCAACUGAACUCAUACCUGUUGGUUUUUUGUACUUUGUUGCUGAUUGGCCUCGCAAUUGCCAAUCUCCUUUUGACUAGAACCCAACAUUUUUUGCAUAGAUUUUCAUAUUGAGCUGUACCUUAAAAAUCACCAGGCACAGGCUUAUUUUAAACAUUGUUUUAUUUAUGGGUGCAGUUAACUUAUCAACACUAAAGGUUUCGUUCAUUUACUAUUUCAUUUUCAGUAAAUAGAUGAAGCAUUACGGAAGAUGGCAUAUUUUAUUAAUGCUCUUUUCUGCUUUUCAACUGGAAGGCUUCUGUCCUUCACCUUUGAACUCUUUUCAAAAAAUAAAAUAAAAGUUCUACUUUAUUAGUUUUAUGAUUUACAAUGCAUUUUUUUUUCAAUUUGGGAGGUGUAUACAUGCUUCAUUAAAGUUUGAAGCCAAAGUGAGCUUAAUAUUUAAAUUUGUUUGAUAUUAUUUUCCAUCUCUCUACUUGGUUGUUGCAUAUUAUUUUAGUUUGUUGCAUGUACAUAUGUCAAAAUGAUAAGCACUGCAGGAGGUUGCUGUGAAAAUUCUGAUGGAACAAGACUUUGCAGGUGAACGCUUCCAGGAAUUCUUGAGGGAGGUAGGCCCAGUAUUCUUGUCUUGUUUUGUGCUGAAAAACAUUAAUUGUAAGCUUGCUACUGAUUUGAGCUAUAUUUUCACUCGUUUUGCUAGGUUGCAAUAAUGAAAAACUUACGGCAUCCAAACAUUGUUUUGCUUAUGGGUGCAGUCACUAAGCCUCCCAAUUUAUCAAUUGUCACAGAAUACUUGUCCAGGUUUUGCAAUAUCUCAUCUAACAGUUCCUUUACUCUUCCCAAGAGAGAUCUCUUUUCGUGUUUACAACCUAUGUUACACUUGAGACCUGAAAGAUUUGAUUGACCUCAAUGCAGGGGUAGCUUGUAUAGGCUGUUGCAUAAACCUGGUGCCACAGAAAUGUUGGAUGAGAGACGCAGGAUUAGUAUGGCUUAUGAUGUGGUAAACUUUCUGAAGAUAAACACUAUUGUUUUUGGUUCUAUUUAUUUUUUGAACUAAUAUGUAACCCUUGUAUCCAUUGGUUAAGUAUUUUUCGUUUUCCUGUGCAGGCUAAGGGGAUGAAUUAUCUUCAUAAACGAAAUCCUCCCAUUGUUCAUAGAGAUCUGAAAUCUCCAAACCUUCUUGUUGACAAGAAAUAUACAGUGAAGGCAAGAAGAAAAUUUUCUUGUGUCUGAAAUUUUUUGGAGAGUUUCGUUUAAUUCAUUAGUCACCUUUAUUAGUAUGGUUCCACUUCUCCGGCACUCACAAAUUCCCUUCUACAAUUUGAAGGCUAUAUUGAAUCACCAAAUUUCAAAUCACUUUGUGUGUGCAGCAUUAAAGCACUAAUAUAGUCCGUACUUUGUGUAUGCUAGCGUUAAAGCACUAAUAUAGUCCGUGCUUAAUGACACUGUUUAGCCACCAUCUCUUUUGAACUUUUCGUGAACCAAUGAAAGAAGUAUUACAGCAAAACUUGGUCUACACAUUGUUGAUAUAAGUUUUCAUUCUGCCAAUUAGCUGGGCUUCAUUUGAUUCAAAUUUCACAUAUUGACAAAAAUCAAUUUAAUACAUAUACUAUAUAUUCAGUGCAAAAUUUAUUUUCUGGGGGGUGAAUGUUGUUGGUCUGUUUGCUUUGGCAUUAUGUGCAUUAUUGGAGUAAUUUUGAAUUUUCACAGUUCCUUAUUUACUUGUAUCGUCCCUUUAGGUUAGUGAUUUUGGGCUUUCCCGACUAAAGGCAAACACAUUUCUCUCAUCCAAGUCAGCUGCUGGGACAGUAAGUUUUCUUUCAAAACAUGUGUAUCUGCUUUUUUUAUCAUAUUUUUCUGAGGUCUUUUCUAUUAUUGCACAUUAAGUUGAACACCCUUUUCUCCAUUAGCCUGAGUGGAUGGCUCCAGAAGUUCUUCGUGACGAGCCAUCCAAUGAGAAGUCAGAUGUUUACAGCUUUGGUGUCAUCUUGUGGGAGCUCGCAACAUUGCAACAGCCUUGGAGUAAUUUGAAUCCACCACAGGUUUGUCAUUUAACUGAUAUAUUUCACUGUGCUUAUGGUUAGAUUUUAUAUUAUGAUUAUGUUGCUUUGAUUUUUAUGGACGUGUCUUUAAGAUCUGUUGACUGUAAGUGUAGAACAUAAAAAUAAUAUAAUGGUAUUGGUAACAUAAAUCUGAAAAUAAUUGCAAGAAAUAUAUAUUGGUUGAAGCAUGUAUCACACUGGUCAAACGAUAAGUGUGGUUUAUGGAGUGUUAUUCUGUUUCAUGGUUGCCUGUUAUCAACAUAUUAUUCUACUGAGACUGAAAUUUGCAUCAAUAUUUCUUUCUAUCUUUUUUUUUUACUUUUGGACUGAGGCUUUUAGUAAUGUGUUUGAUGGAGAGCCUUUAGUAUUACGUAGUCUUCACAAAUCUGUGAUGUUUUGUAGGUUGUGGCAGCUGUUGGCUUUAAGGCAAAAAGACUUGAAAUACCACGAGAUUUAAAUCCUCAAUUAGCAUCAAUAAUUGAGGCUUGCUGGGCCAAGUGAGUUGCAGAUACAUCUUUCAUUUGUAGUCUGCUUCAUUAUUCUGCUUGAAUUUUAUUGAUAUGCUUGGUUUACUGCAGUGAACCCUGGAAACGCCCUUCUUUUUCAAGUAUUAUGGAUUCUUUGAAAGGAUUGAUCAAACCCCCUAUACCUCAACCUGGUCGUCCAAACAUGUCAUUACCCAUUUGAAUGGUUGGAACGAUAGUUGUUAUUCAUGCACAUACUACAGGAUUUUGUUAGUUUGAUGUCUAUCAGGAAUACACUGUUUCAAUAGUCCCAGGUGCGUACCAAAUUCCUUAAAAUUUUGCUUGGACGUAGUAUUUUUUCUAUAUUUUGUGUUUUUGCGGUGAAGCAUAUAUUAUUAAUUUUCAAGUGUGGAGUGGGGACAUUAUCUUCCAGAUAUAUUUGUCAUGAAUCAACUAUCUUAAAAGCUAAAAUUAUUAGGUGGUGUGAUACAUGAAUUAUUUGCUACUUCUAUAGCGUCGCUGACCCACCUCAUGCGAGGUAGUUGGACUAUAAGUGUAAAAAAUGCGAAGACCCUUUGUUGGAAAUUUAUGGGGGAGAAAAUACUGGGGAGACCAUCAGCAAUGGGUCACGAGCUAACACAAGAGAAAUUGAUCCAACUUUAACCCAAAUCCUCUUUCAUACUUAUAUGAUGUUCAAUUUUCUCAUUUCUAUAUAGUGGGACUCCAACUCAGUCGAACACCAACAAUCUCUCUCCCCCCAAGUGAGCCUUUUCUUGUAAGUUUCUCCCUUGAACGAAAACCUUAUUUAUCAUAAGUACUUAGUGGUGACUCUAUUUGCACUACCAUUCAUCUUAACGUGACACACUUUUGAACCCUUAUCAGGAAGACAUACGCUGGAUCCAUUUGCCUAUUGUCAAGUUCAUGGUACUUAUGUGAGUUCGUCACUAGGACUAACUAUAUUUGAUACAACUUGUUGGGGAUCCAAGGGGGAGAAACACCUAAGAGAUCUUCGCCAAUGGGUCUCAAGCCAACCACACAAGAGAAAAUGAAGUCACAUUCCAACUAAGAACCUUAACUUUCUCAUUUCUACACAAUGUGAGACUUUAACUCACUUGAACACGGACAAUUUCUUCUUAAAGUGUGAGUCUCUUCUGCAUUGGAAGCUUUCUUAUGCAAUCCAUCAUCUUCCAUAAUGCUUUCACAAUAUGGCCCUUUUUGUCCAAUCCUAUAGUAACUCAUUUAUGGCGUGCAUGUUGCUAUGGACCUCUCUUGACGAUAGCACCCGACCAUAGUCAGACUCUAAAACUUACCUUGCCCAAAAGAGACCUAGCACUCAUUCUGCUUGGAUGAGUUCUUUGAUACAAGUCUUCUUGAGUUGUAUGACUACGUUCAAGAACAAC